UAUAUAUAUGUAACAAAAAACAUAAAUCCAAGGCAGAACUCAGGCCAAAAUACCACCAAAGACAGCCAACCCUUUGGAGGAUGAGCGUAUACAAUUUAGUCUGAAAGGUGCAUGGGAAAAAAGCCACAGAAGGUGGGCCAGAUGGAUAUCUUCUGGUGAUAAUGUCAGAGCCACAGGUUGAACCAGAAGCCCAAGCCUGGGAGAAUGAAGUAUGUCUACAGAAUGACUAGGUCUCAGUAAGGAGGGCCAAAACUGGCCUAGCCGACUCCAAGGGCUCUGACUGAGGUGUCAGAGGUACAGACAGGUGAGGCUGCCCUUAUGAUGGGAAUGUUGGAUCCUGCCCACAAAACUGGGAGCUCCCUUGUUCCCAAAGCAGGAGAAUCACAUUCCACAUACUUGCAAUUGUUGACUACUGGUCAGAAUCGUUGAAAACAAAAAGUGUAUUGUUUGAAACCAAAAAUAGAUUUGAUGCACCUGCUAGCAAAAUACUAAAUUUUUGUAGCUGCCAGAUGUAAAGCACAGAAUCAGCAAUGAAGAAUGCAAAGGGGAGCAUACUGUGUCUCUAUAAUUGAGCAUGAUGACAAUAAUUGGCCAGACAUUUCACAUUUCACCUAACCACUUGCUGCACAAUUUAUCCAUGGGUGAAAUAAAUGGAAGUGGGUCUUUUUGUUUUAUUUUAUUUUUUAAGUAACACAGUCUUGCUUUGUUGCCCAGGCUGGAGGGCAGUGGCAUGAUCAUAGCUCACUGUAACCUCAAACUUCUGGGCUCAAGCGACCCUCCCACCUCAGUCCCCCAAGCAGCUAGGACUACAGGUGUGCACCACUGUAUCUGGCCAAGUUUGUGUGUGUGUGUAUUUUUUUUUAUAGAUAGAGUCUGGCUAUGUUGCCCAGGCUGGUCUCAAACUCCUGGGCUCAAGUGAUCCUCCCACAGUGCUGGGAUUAUAGGCAUGAGCCACUGCGUCCAGCCCAGAAAUGGGUAUUUUAAACGUAUUACGAAAAACAAAUUGUUAUGGGUGGAGAUGUGUCCCCUGCAAAUUCAUAUGUUGAAAUCUUAACCUCUAGCACCCCAGAAUGUGACUGUAUUUGGACAUAUGGCCUUUAAAGAAGUAAAGUAAAAUGAGAUAAUUACUUUAGGCCCUAAUCCAAUUUGACUGGCCCUACUAGGAAAUGGAAAUCAGGACACAGACAUGAGCACAUACAGAGAAAAGACUGUGCCAGGAGCAAGCUGCCAUCUGCAAGCCAAGGAGAGAGCUCUCAGAAAAAAACGAUCUUGCCGACACCUUCCUUUUGCACUUCCAGCCUCCAGGACUCCUGCAAGUGCUCAGAGGACACCCAACCCUAUGAUCUCAGCCAACUCAUGAAGUUUGAUUUCACAACUUAGUGAUGUCUUCCCAGUGGAAUCCUAAAUGAUAAGGAAAAUGGUAUAGAGCCAAGACUUGAACAUUAACAACCCAGGAGCACAGAAACAGCACAGUUAGCUGAGAGGCGUUAUGGAGAGAAGCAACUGAAUGCACACUGAGCGCUGUGAGAAGUCCACGACAGUGGGGAACAGCGCCCACCGUCACAAAAAGAAAGACCCUCGGCAGGUACUUUAGAGUCACGUUCAUGCUGUAAUAUGUGGGGAAGAAAGACUAUUCCAAAUGGAUCUGGCUCUUUAAAACAAGGGAAUUUUCCUUGCUCUUGGGAACCAGCAAAAUCCAGCUGCUCAUUGAACUGCCUGUCUGGAAUCUCACAAAUUUGCACCUUGAAGUUGUUAAUAAAGGACUAAGUUGAUAAUUCAAACAAA